ACGGAAGCUAAAGGCUCAAAACGCCCCGUUUUUCUCGGAGAAAUUUUCCGAAACUAUUAUUUUAGUGACUUAUAUGUCUUGAGCGAAAGUCAUCAAAUUACUUUUCCCCCCCCUGCAGUGGAAGUGGUCUCGUCCACGUAAAUCUCAAACCAGCGAGCUUUCCUAGUGCGCAAGCGCAUUUUAAAUCACAUGGUGGCUGCCUGCUUGAGGCUGAGUUAAGUUGCUGGUGGUGAUUGGAACCUCUUUCUGGGUGUCAGAACUCGAAACUUAUCUGGAGGAUGUUGGGCUCAAAGAACAUGCCCUGGCGGAGGCUGCAGGGCAUUUCCUUCGGGAUGUAUUCGGCCGAAGAACUCAAGAAAUUAAGUGUUAAGUCCAUUACAAACCCUCGUUACCUGGACAGCCUGGGGAACCCGUCGGUGAACGGCCUGUACGAUUUAGCUUUGGGCCCUGCGGAUUCCAAAGAGGUGUGCUCCACCUGCGUGCAGGACUUCAACAACUGCUCUGGCCACCUGGGCCACAUUGAGCUUCCGCUCACGGUGUACAACCCUCUCCUCUUUGAUAAACUCUACCUGCUGCUUCGGGGCUCCUGUUUAAACUGUCACAUGCUGACCUGCCCCCGGGCUGUGAUUCACCUCUUAGUCUGCCAGCUGCGAGUUCUGGAAGUGGGUGCCCUACAAGCAGUCUACGAGCUUGAGAGAAUUCUGAACAGGUUUCUAGAAGAAAACGCUGAUCCUACUGCCUUUGAGAUUCAGGAAGAGUUAGAACAGUACACGGCCAAAAUUGUACAGAACAAUCUGUUGGGAUCCCACGGUGCACACGUGAAAAAUGUUUGUGAGAGCAGGAGCAAACUCAUUGCUUACUUCUGGAAGGCACAUAUGACUGCUAAGCGGUGUCCUCACUGCAAGACCGGGCGGUCAGUUGUCCGAAAGGAGCACAACAGCAAGCUGACAGUCACAUACCCAGCCAUGGUGCACAAGAAGGCUGACCAGAAGGACACAGAGCCCCUGGGAAUUGAGGAAGCCCAGAUGGGAAAACGAGGGUACCUAACACCCACCAGCGCCCAAGAACAUCUUACUGCCCUUUGGAAGAAUGAAGGAUUCUUUCUGAAUUACCUUUUUUUGGGACUGGAAAAUGUCGACAUGGAGUCUAGAUUCAAUCCCAGUAUGUUCUUUUUGGAUUUCCUGGUCGUGCCACCCUCAAGGUAUCGCCCUGUCAAUCGGCUGGGGGACCAGAUGUUUACCAAUGGCCAGACGGUGAACUUGCAGGCUGUCAUGAAGGACAUGGUUCUGAUCCGAAAACUUCUGGCAUUGAUGGCCCAAGAACAGGAGCUGCCGUGUGAGGUGGCAGCACCUGCCAAAGAUGAGGAAAAAGACUCUUCAGUUGUUCUGGACCAGUCCUUUUUGAGUCUGCUUCCAGGCCAGUCCCUCACAGACAAACUUUACAACAUUUGGAUUCGUCUUCAGAGCCACGUCAAUAUUGUGUUUGAUAGUGAGAUGGACAAAUUAAUGAUGGAAAAGUACCCUGGCAUUAGACAGAUCCUGGAGAAGAAGGAUGGCUUAUUCCGAAAACACAUGAUGGGGAAGCGAGUGGACUACGCGGCCCGUUCGGUCAUCUGCCCAGAUAUGUACAUUAACACCAACGAAAUUGGAAUUCCCAUGGUGUUUGCCACAAAACUGACCUACCCUCAGCCAGUCACUCCCUGGAAUGUUCAGGAACUGAGGCAAGCAGUCAUCAAUGGCCCCAAUGUACACCCGGGAGCCUCCAUGGUCAUCAAUGAGGAUGGCAGCCGCACAGCCCUGAGUGCCGUCGACCUGACCCAGCGGGAGGCUGUAGCCAAACAGCUCCUGACACCAGCCACGGGGGCACCUAAGCCCCAGGGGACAAAAAUUGUGUGCCGGCAUGUGAAGAAUGGGGACAUCCUCCUGCUGAACCGACAGCCCACCCUGCACAGACCCUCUAUCCAGGCACACCACGCCCGCAUCCUGCCUGAAGAGAAAGUCCUGCGGCUCCACUAUGCCAACUGCAAGGCAUAUAACGCUGACUUUGAUGGAGAUGAGAUGAAUGCUCACUUCCCCCAGAGUGAACUGGGCCGGGCCGAGGCCCAUGUCCUGGCCUGCACGGAUCAGCAGUACCUUGUUCCCAAGGAUGGCCAGCCAUUGGCGGGGUUGAUCCAAGAUCACAUGGUUUCGGGUGCAAACAUGACCAUUCGAGGUUGCUUUUUCACUCGGGAGCAAUAUAUGGAGCUGCUAUACCGAGGACUCACAGACAAAGUAGGGCGUGUGAAGCUCUUUCCUCCUGCCAUCCUGAAGCCCUUUCCACUGUGGACAGGAAAGCAGGUUGUGUCAACACUGCUCAUAAACAUAAUCCCAGAGGACCACAUCCCACUGAGCUUGUUGGGAAAGGCGAAGAUCAACGGCAAAGCCUGGGUGCAGGAGUCCCCUCGGCCUGUUCCUGGCUUUAACCCUGACUCCAUGUGCGAGUCCCAGGUGAUCAUCAGAGAAGGGGAGCUGCUCUGUGGGGUGCUGGACAAGGCGCACUACGGGAGCUCCGCCUAUGGCCUGGUCCACUGCUGCUAUGAGAUCUAUGGCGGGGAGACCAGCGGCAAGGUUCUCACCUGCCUGGCCCGCCUCUUCACCGCCUACCUUCAGCUCUACAGAGGUUUCACCUUGGGGGUGGAAGACAUUCUGGUUAAGCCGAAGGCAGAUGUGAAGAGACACAGGGUCAUCGAAGAGUCCACCCACUGCGGGCCGCGGGCUGUCAGGGCUGCAUUAAACCUGCCAGAAGCCGCUUCAUGUGAUGAGGUCCGAGGCAAAUGGCAGGAUGCCCAUCUGGGCAAAGACCAGAGGGAUUUUAACAUGAUUGAUCUGAAGUUCAAGGAGGAAGUGAACCAUUACAGCAAUGAGAUUAACAAGGCAUGCAUGCCAUUUGGCCUGCACAGACCGUUCCCGGAAAACAACUUGCAGAUGAUGGUGCAGUCUGGAGCCAAAGGUUCAACUGUGAACACCAUGCAGAUCUCAUGCCUGCUGGGCCAAAUCGAAUUGGAAGGUCGGAGACCCCCCUUGAUGGCAUCUGGCAAGUCAUUGCCCUGCUUUGAGCCUUAUGAGUUCACCCCCAGGGCCGGCGGUUUCGUCACUGGCAGAUUCCUCACUGGCAUCAAGCCUCCUGAGUUCUUCUUUCACUGCAUGGCCGGGCGAGAGGGUCUAGUGGACACUGCUGUGAAAACCAGCCGCUCCGGCUAUCUCCAAAGGUGCAUCAUCAAGCACUUGGAGGGGCUGGUCGUCCAGUAUGACCUGACCGUCCGCGACAGUGAUGGCAGCGUGGUACAGUUCCUGUACGGGGAGGACGGCCUGGACGUCCCCAAGACGCAGUUCCUGCAGCCCAAGCAGUUCCCCUUCCUCGCCAGCAACUAUGAGGUGAUAAUGAAAUCGAAGCAUCUGCAUGAAGUUUUAUCCAGAGCAGAUCCCCAAAAAGCUCUCCGUCACUUCAGAGCCAUCAAAAAAUGGCAAAGCAAGCAUUCCAACGGCCUGCUGAGAAAAGGCGCCUUCUUGAAUUAUUCACAGAGAAUUCAGGCAGCUGUGAAAGCCUUGAACCUUGAGGGUGGGAACCAGAAUGGCCGCAGCCUUGGGACUCACCAGAUCUUGAACAUGUGGGGUGAGUUAGAUGAGCAGAGUCGAAGGAAAUACCAGAAGAAGGCAGCUCCUUGUCCUGACCCCAGUCUGGCUGUUUGGCGCCCAGACAUCUACUUUGCAUCGGUGUCAGAAACAUUUGAAAAAAAGAUGGAUGACUACAGUCUCGAGUGGGCAUCUCAAGCAGAGAAGAGUUACGAGAAAUCAGAGCUUUCUCUUGACAGGUUGAGGACCCUGCUGCAGCUGAAGUGGCAGCGCUCGCUGUGUGACCCGGGUGAGGCCGUGGGCCUGCUGGCCGCCCAGAGCAUUGGGGAGCCCUCCACGCAGAUGACCCUGAACACCUUCCACUUUGCUGGCAGAGGCGAGAUGAACGUCACCCUGGGCAUCCCGAGGUUGAGGGAGAUCCUCAUGGUGGCGAGUGCCAACAUCAAGACGCCCAUGAUGAGCGUGCCCGUGUUCAACACCAAGAAAGCACUGAAGAGAGUGAAAAGCCUGAAGAAGCAACUCACCAGAGUAUGCUUAGGGGAGGUGUUGGAGAAAAUUGAUGUCCAGGAGUCGUUCUGUAUCGGAGACAAACAGGACAAGUUUCAGGUGUACCAGUUGAGGUUUCAGUUCCUGCCACAUGCGUAUUACCAGCAGGAGAAGUGCCUGAGACCUGAGGACAUCCUGCACUUUGUGGAAACAAGGUUCUUUAAGAUUCUGAUGGAAUCCCUCAGAAAGAAGAAUAAUAAAGCCUCAGCUUUCAGAAGCGUUAACACUCGGAGAGCUACCCAGCGGGAUCUAGACAACUCUGGCGAGUCAGAGAGGAAUCGGGGAGAACAGGAAGGCGACGAAGAGGAGGGGCCCAUUGUGGACGCUGAAGCUGAGGAGGGGGACGCUGAUGCUUCUGAUGCCAAACGCAAGGAGAAACAAGAAGAGGAGGUCGAUUAUGAGAGCGAGGAAGAGGAGGUUGAGGAGGAUAACGACGAUGAGGACAUGCAGGAGGAAGGUGCUCACAAGGCCCAGGAGCAGGAUGAAGAGGUGGGCUUAGGCCCCCAGGAGGACUCGCCCCCUGCCGCCCCCCUCAACCAGCCCCGGAAGUCCACCCGCAGCAGAGAGCCCCAGGGAGCCGGGGCCGUGGAGCGCCGGGUGCAGGCGGUGCGCGAGUCGCACCCGUUCAUAGAGGACUACCAGUAUGACUCCGAGGAGAGCCUGUGGUGCCAGGUGACAGUGAAGCUCCCUCUGAUGAAGAUUAACUUUGACAUGAGCUCCCUGGUAGUGUUGCUGGCCCAGAGUGCUGUUGUCUACGCGACCAAGGGCAUCACAAGGUGCCUCCUCAAUGAAACCACCAACAAGAAGAAUGAGAAGGAGCUUGUCUUAAACACUGAAGGAAUCAACCUGCCGGAGCUGUUCAAAUACGCUGAGGUUCUGGACUUGCGCCGCCUCUAUUCCAAUGACAUCCACGCCAUGGCCAGCACCUACGGCAUCGAGGCCGCACUGCGGGUGAUCGAGAAGGAGAUCAGGGACGUGUUUGCUGUGUACGGCAUUGCGGUCGAUCCCCGCCAUCUCUCCCUGGUCGCCGACUAUAUGUGCUUCGAGGGCGUGUACAAGCCGUUGAAUCGCUUUGGGAUCCGAUCAAACUCCUCCCCUCUGCAACAGAUGACAUUUGAGACCAGCUUCCAGUUUCUGAAGCAGGCCACCAUGCUGGGAUCGCACGAUGAGCUGAGGUCCCCUUCCGCCUGCCUCGUGGUCGGGAAAGUCGUCCGGGGCGGGACAGGCCUGUUCGAGCUCAAGCAGCCCCUGAGAUAGUGGCCACCGCCUACCAUCUACCCGGCCUGGAGGACAGCCAGGAGGACCUGGGGGCGGGCCUGGCCUGCCCGUCCCAUGAGAGGCCCGGGAGAGCGGAGGCCAAGGUGGCCCAGGUGGUUGUUCAGGGCACGGCAGUGAUGCUGGGGGGCCGUGAAAGCAGCUGGCCUCAGGGCUGGACCAGCUUCAACUGGAAAGUGGCAGCGUUCCUUGGCCUUCCCCGUCUCGGGAUAUGAGCAGGGUUCACCGAGUCCCCUGAGUCCCUCUCAGGUGGCCAGCCCUUCCCCUGUGCGGCACCUCUGAGGCAGGGAGAGCCCUUCAUCUUGCAAAGCUGAAUCUCUGUCGCCAUCAAACACUGACUCCCCCAUUCCUCUGGUGACCACUUGCCCCUGGGGCAGCCACCCCGUUCUUCCUGCUGUCUCUGCAUUUGACUCCUGCCUCCGAUGAGUGGAAUGAUUAUUUGCUCUUUUGUGAUUGGCUUAUUUUACUUGAUGUAAUGUUGAUGUUCAUCAGUGUUGUGGCAUGUGUCAGAAUUUCCUUCCUGUUGAAGGUUGAAUAAUAUCCCACUGUGUGUCUGUUUCGUUCAUCCAUCCAACCAUCGAUGGACACUUGGGUUGCUUCUACCUUUUGGCUCUUGUGAAUGCUGCUGCGAACACGGAUGUACAAAUCUCAAGACCCUGCUUCCAGUUCUUUGGGGUUUAGACCCAGAAGUGGAAUUGUUGGAUCGUUGGCAGUUGGCAGUUCUGUUUUUCAUGUUUUGAGAAGCUGCCAUGCUAUUUUCCACAACGUCUAUACCAUUUUACAUUCCCACCCACAGCACACAAGGCUUCCGAUUUCUCCACCCCCUUGCUGAUGCUUGUUCUUUCCUCUUUUGUUCUAUAUGGCAGCCAUCGUGAUUUGAGUUAGGGAGUGUCAGAUGGUGGGGCGCUUAGGUGGUCUGCACCUACAUAGACUUAGGAACCACUUUAGAAGUGUCUCUCUGGCUUCUUCUCCGAGAGAACGCCAAAUGGCGGAUGACGCCGGUGCUGUGGGAGGACCCGGAGGGCCGGGGGGCCCUGGAAUGGGAGGCCGCAGAGGCUUCAGCAGUGGCAUCCGGGACUGUGGUCGGGGCCGGGGUCAAGGCCGUGGAGCUCGCAGAGGCAAGGCCGAGGACAAGGAGUGGAUCUCCAUCACCAAGCUGGGCUGCCUGGUCAAGGACAUGAAGACCAAGUCCCUGGAGGAGAUCUCUCUCUUCUCCCUGCCCAUCAAGGAAUCUAGGUCAUUGAUUUCUUCCUGGGAGCAUCCCUCAAGGACGAGGUUCUGAAGAUCAUGCCUGUGCAAAAGCAGACCCGUGCUGGCCAUCGGACCAGGUUCAAGGCGUUUGUUGCCAUCGGAGAUCACAACAGGCACGUGGGCCUGGGUUUCAAGUGCUCCAAGGAGGUCGCCACUGCCGUCCGUGGGGCCAUCGUCCUGGCCAAGCUUUCCAUCGUCCCCGUGCGGCAAGGCUACUGGGGGAACAAGAUCGGCAAGCCCCACACUGUCCCAUCCCGGGUGACUGGCUGCUGUGGCCCUGUGCUGGGGUGCCUCAUCCCCGCCCCCAGAGGCACUGGCAUGGUCUCAGCCCCUGCGCCCAAGAAGCUACUGAUGCUGGCCGGUAUCGACGACUGCCACACGUCGGCCAGGGGCUGCACUGCCACCCUGGGGAACUUUGCCAAGGCUACUUUUGAUGCCAUCCCCGAGACCUACAGCUGUCUCACCCCUGACUUCUGGAAGGAGACGGUGUUCACCAAGUCUCCCUAUCCGGAAUUCACUGACCAUCUUGUGAACACCCACAACAGAGUCUCCGUGCAGAGGACCUAGGCUCCAGCUGUGGCCAUCACGUA